rnacentral:rRNA from 1 species
UAAGUAACCUGGCCUUUACAGGGGAUAACUGUUGGAAACGAUAGCUAAGACCGCAUAGGUGUGAUAACCGCAUGGAGAUGACAUGAAAUAUGCUACGGCAUAGGUAGAGGAUGGACUUAUGGCGCAUUAGCUAGUUGGAGGGGGUAACGGCCCACCAAGGCGACGAUGCGUAGCCGACCUGAGAGGGUGACCGGCCACACUGGGACUGAGACACGGCCCAG